UCCGGUUCAACGAGGAAGUAUUUCCGCGGAUGACAAGCCGGGCUCGCAAUUGAAGAGGCGACUGGGGCAAAGGUGCAGCCGACAGACUCGGAGGACAUGCGGAAGGGACGCCAACCUGCAUUUGGACACAUAACAGACAAUCACAAAGCAGAGGAAAAAGUUGCAAGUUGGAUGGCAGUCUGCACGUCGCUGGGUGGUGAAGUAGUCGGCUCAUGAGAACGUCGGACAGGUGCGUUGACC